UUUUUUUUUUUUUUUUUUUUUUUAGGAUCACUAAGGCUAUUUUAAAAAAGCUUGAACUAUUUUGGUUUGUUAGGGUUGUAUUCCUUAGAGUGAAUGGAUCUAUUUCUUUUGAGAUUUCUGGCAAUAAAUUAGCAUAUGGGAGUCAGUCAUAUUCUCCUUUAUUGUUUUAAUUACUAGAACUGAACAAUUGCCUAAAAUACCAAAGAGAAUUCACCUCCAGUGGCUUCAAGGAAACUAUACAUCAUAUAUCAAGCAAAACCAGGAAAUCAGAUAGGAUAUCAAUUAUCAAUAUUAAAAUGCACCAGUAACCAGCCAGAACUAAUAUUAAUCAUAUUCAGUCAUGUGCUUAGUUUAUGGUUAGAAGAACAAGCUAAUGAAAGUCUCUUGAGAGGAAAAGGGAAAGAGUAUAAAAAAUAUUUGAAGUGGAGAAGAAUGACAUAUGUGAGUAAUAAGAGAGGCAAGAAAUUAGAGAUGGGAGGACUGGUAAGGCAAUUUUAAAAGGGAAGAAGGAAGAUAGCAGCCCAGGUUAAGCUUCAAAUGAGCAGGUUCAGGAAAACAAGAUUCUUCAAAAUAAUGUAUUUCAUUGCAUUUUGGCUUAAAAUAUUUUCCCUAAUUGUAUUUUUUGCACACUUCCUACACUUUUGGUCUCUUCCUGGAGAGCUACAUGCUACCAGGAACUGAGACUUUUGCCAGAGUACAGUACUCAUUCUCUUUUAAUUCCAGAUGAGUCUGCCCUGGCCAAGAGCUUUGUGUGUCAAGAGCCUUGUCUCUCUCAUUCAUUGCUGGAUCCCUGAGAACCAUGCUUAGCUCACAGCAUUUUUCAUGAAUUCUGAGAUGCACUUUCCCCCCUAACAUUUUAAUAUCUCAGAAAUGGGAGUCAUAUAUUACAAUUGAUGACCUGUCAUUGUUUAAUUGCCAGUGGCUUUUUUUUUUCCUGGUGGUAUUAAAAUAAAGGCAUUGUAACAACCAAUGGUGAUAUAGAUUCAAUGAACCAUGGAGGUGGACGCUUAAGAAUUAUUUGAUGAAUGAAUAUAUGCAAUAACAUAUCUCCCUGGUUCUAGUUCAGGUAAAAAUGAAAUGCUUAUGAGUUGGUUCUGGAUUGUAUUUCUGCCGCCAGUGAGGCAGGGUAGAGGUUGGCCUCUGGCUAUCUUGGCUGAGCAUUUUAAUGCUGUUCACUUUUCCUUGAGUGGAGCUGAUAGAUGGCUUGUUCAUUCUUGCAAGUGAAAUGUUAAAUCAAUUAAGACAUACCCCAGAUAAGCUGAGUUUAAAAUAAGAAACUUUACUUUUGCCUUGAUUUUCCAGAAAAUUGCUUUUUGUUCUAUUUUGGAUUGCAUGUCCAUCAAUAUUUCUCUUGUAAAUUCAUGGAGAUACAUAGGUAGAUGAGCAAUAAUCUCUUUCUCUGUCUCUCUCAAUAAAACAAGCUAUAGAUUUCAUUAGGAUAAAGUAUGUUUCUAUAGAUUAGGAUGCCCUUAUCCAUCACCACCACCACCACCACCACCAUCUCUUAGAGAGCUUCCCAACCUACAGAAGAGACAAAGUAUAUGUAGGUAUAUUAUCCAUACUUUAGAAUUUCAUAAUCCACAUUCAGUAUAUCAAAUUGCAUAGAAGUUAUGCCUCAGACUUAACCAUGUGAAGUACUCUGCUGUUUUUUGGUGUUCUGAUCUCAUUUUAGUUUGGUUUCCUUUGAAUGGAAAAUUUGAACCUGAUUUUGAUAUUGGAGCAGGAUGUGCUGCUAUUUGUUUCUCUGUGUGAACAGGGAGGGGAAAAGAAACACGUGAACAUUUUUAAAUGGCAAAACCAGAGAUGGGAAGGGAGGCAAUAUUGAACGUGUGCUAGGAUAAGGCUUUCAUAUAAAAAGUGUUCAGAUAUUAAGAUAUGUGAAAUAUUUGGGGCCCUUCAUUAGAUAGCUAUUUCAAUCAGUGAUGCUUUUAAGUUCCAAAUUGUCUGGUAAUUAUGUAAAGAUGCUCCAGUGAAACACCAUUUUUGGCUUAGGGAAAUAUUUAUAUACUUACCAGAUAGUAAGUAUAUAAUUAUGAAUAUGAUAGUAAGUAUAUGAAUUUUGAAAAUAUGCAAUGUUAUUACAUAGCUACCAUAUAAAAUACAAUAUAUGAGGGCAGAUUUACAUAUCCCAUGUAGAAAUGUGGGUAUUUAUAUAUAGGAAAAGGAAAAUAAACAAGCAUUACUGAAGUAUUUAUGAGUUUAUGGCAUUUAACUCAUCUCAAACAUUUAUGCAGUGUUUUUUCUAUACUAAUUUAAUGUUUAUAUAUGAAUGCAUAAAAAUAAAUAACAUGGAAAAAUUAA
rnacentral:lncRNA from 1 species